UGUUUUCGGGUGUCUGUGAACUUAUUAUGAUUUUAGGCAGCCUCUCUUCUAAUGGGUGGGGUGGUGUUCCUGUCUUGCUAGUUGUUUGACAUAGGUUGUCUAGCACUGUAGCCUGCUGUUUAUUGAAUGGAGCUGGG